rnacentral:rRNA from 1 species
CCUACGGGUGGCAGCAGUGGGGAAUAUUGGACAAUGGGGGGAACCCUGAUCCAGCAAUGCCGCGUGUGUGAAGAAGGCCCUCGGGUUGUAAAGCACUUUCAGUGAGGAAGAACGCCUGGUGGUUAAUACCGAUCGGCAAAGACAUCACUCACAGAAGAAGCACCGGCUAACUCCGUGCCAGCAGCCGCGGUAAUACGGAGGGUGCGAGCGUUAAUCGGAAUUACUGGGCGUAAAGCGCGCGUAGGCGGGUUGAUAAGCCGGUUGUGAAAGCCCCGGGCUCAACCUGGGAACGGCAUCCGGAACUGGCAAGCUAGAGUGCAGAAGAGGAAAGUAGAAUUCCCGGUGUAGCGGUGAAAUGCGUAGAGAUCGGGAGGAACACCAGUGGCGAAGGCGGCUUCCUGGACUGACACUGACACUGAGGUGCGAAAGCGUGGGUAGCAAACAGGAUUAGAUACCCGUGUAGUC